rnacentral:rRNA from 1 species
AACGGGUGAGUAAUACAUCGGAACGUGUCCUGUANNGGGGGAUAGCCNGGCGAANGCCNGAUUAAUNNNGCAUACGCUCUGCGGAGGAAAGCGGGGGAUCCUUCGGGACCUCGCGCUACAGGGGCGGCCGAUGGCAGAUUAGCUAGUUGGUGGGGUAAAGGCCUACCAAGGCGACGAUCUGUAGCUGGUCUGAGAGGACGACCAGCCACACUGGGACUGAGACACGGCCCAGACUCCUACGGGAGGCAGCAGUGGGGAAUUUUGGACAAUGGGCGCAAGCCUGAUCCAGCAAUGCCGCGUGUGUGAAGAAGGCCUUCGGGUUGUAAAGCACUUUUGUCCGGAAAGAAAACCUCGUGGUUAAUACCCGUGGGGGAUGACNGUACCGGAAGAAUAAGCACCGGCUAACUACGUGCCAGCAGCCGCGGUAAUACGUAGGGUGCAAGCGUUAAUCGGAAUUACUGGGCGUAAAGCGUGCGCAGGCGGUUCGCUAAGACAGAUGUGAAAUCCCCGGGCUUAACCUGGGAACUGCAUUUGUGACUGGCGGGCUAGAGUAUGGCAGAGGGGGGUAGAAUUCCA